UACGUAGGGUGCGAGCGUUAAUCGGAAUUACUGGGCGUAAAGCGCGCGUAGGCGGCUUUGCAAGUCGGGUGUGAAAUCCCCAGGCUUAACCUGGGAACUGCAUUCGAGACUGCAUUGCUAGAGUAUGGGAGAGGGAAGUGGAAUUUCCGGUGUAGCGGUGAAAUGCGUAGAUAUCGGAAGGAACAUCAGUGGCGAAAGCGACUUCCUGGACCAAUACUGACGCUCAUGUGCGAAAAGCGUGGGGAGCAAACAGG
rnacentral:rRNA from 1 species